GAGGGGGAAGGAUGUUCAUGAGGCUAGGUAAAAGAGGAAUAACCUGAUCUCGAGUGGAUUGUUUGCUCUCAAGAAUAACGGCAGAAUAGGCACGAGCGGCAGAUAUUCUUACACGGAUACUAGGAUCAGCUAAACCGGUGGUAAAGAGAGGAGUAACAGCACUAUCUUGACCUGACAAUAAACGAGGUAAAGAAGUGAUGGUACGGAAAACUGAUUCACGAAAAGACUCAUCAGGAGAGUUAACAGCAUUGAAGAUAACGUUAAUGAGUUCUGGCCAUUCGCCUUGACAAUCAUAGAUAGAUCGAGCAAUCUCGGCGAUUGUGUCACAAAGCUUAUUACGAACAGUGGGAACUGACUCCUUAACAAAGCAAGCUAGAAGUUGACUUUGCAAAGACUGUUUGGACUCAUUUGAAAUGCUAGAGAACACUUCCAACUCACUGUCUCCUGGUAAGGUGCGAAAGGAAAUACGACGGCAAAGAACUAAACAAAAGGAGCGCACAGCUGGGUCCUCACUUUGAUAAGCUAAAAUCGCAAGGCCGUUUAAUAAUAAGUCAGCUCUUUGACUUAUCCAGUCUGAGCUAAGAGACUUUUCAGCAUCAUUUCGGACAGUAUUGUCAGGCGACGAAAGGCCUUGAACUAAAUUUAAAAGAGGAGACAAUACUUCAGGAGGAAAUCCACUAGACAUGAUAUUAAAAAAAAAUGAGCAAUCAGAGACGUGGAUUUUGCAGUUUUAGAGGAAAAAGGUAAAUAAACUUAAAUACAACUUUCUCGUUCGGUCAGAGG